rnacentral:rRNA from 1 species
AGAGUUUGAUCAUGGCUCAGGACGAACGCUGGCGGCGUGCUUAACACAUGCAAGUCGAACGGAAAGGCCCUUCGGGGUACUCGAGUGGCGAACGGGUGAGUAACACGUGGGUGAUCUGCCCUGCACUUCGGGAUAAGCCUGGGAAACUGGGUCUAAUACCGGAUAGGACUACGAAUCGCAUGGUUUGUGGUGGAAAGCUUUUGCGGUGUGGGAUGGGCCCGCGGCCUAUCAGCUUGUUGGUGGGGUGAUGGCCUACCAAGGCGACGACGGGUAGCCGGCCUGAGAGGGUGUCCGGCCACACUGGGACUGAGAUACGGCCCAGACUCCUACGGGAGGCAGCAGUGGGGAAUAUUGCACAAUGGGCGCAAGCCUGAUGCAGCGACGCCGCGUGAGGGAUGACGGCCUUCGGGUUGUAAACCUCUUUCAGUAGGGACGAAGCGCAAGUGACGGUACCUAUAGAGGAAGCACCGGCCAACUACGUGCCAGCAGCCGCGGUA